rnacentral:rRNA from 1 species
GACGAACGCUGGCGGCGUGCCUAAUACAUGCAAGUCGAGCGGACUGAAUGGGAGCUUGCUCUUGUUCGGUCAGCGGCGGACGGGUGAGUAACACGUGGGCAACCUGCCCGCAAGACCGGGAUAACUCCGGGAAACCGGAGCUAAUACCGGAUAACACCGAAGACCGCAUGGUCUUUGGUUGAAAGGCGGCGCAAGCUGCCACUUGCGGAUGGGCCCGCGGCGCAUUAGCUAGUUGGUGAGGUAACGGCUCACCAAGGCGACGAUGCGUAGCCGGCCUGAGAGGGUGACCGGCCACACUGGGACUGAGACACGGCCCAGACUCCUACGGGAGGAAGCAGUAGGGAAUCUUCCGCAAUGGGCGAAAGCCUGACGGAGCGACGCCGCGUGAGCGAAGAAGGCCUUCGGGUCGUAAAGCUCUGUUGUGAGGGACGAAGGAGCGCCGUUUGAAGAAGGCGGCGCGGUGACGGUACCUCACGAGGAAGCCCCGGCUAACUACGUG